rnacentral:rRNA from 1 species
UACGAAGGGUGCUAGCGUUGUUCGGAAUUACUGGGCGUAAAGAGCGCGUAGGCGGUCAUACAAGUCAGGGGUGAAAUCCCACAGCUUAACUGUGGAACUGCCUUUGAAACUGUAUGGCUGGAGUAUGUGAGGGGAUAGCGGAAUUCCUAAUGUAGAGGUGAAAUUCGUAGAUAUUAGGAGGAACACCGGUGGCGAAGGCGGCUAUCUGGCACAUUACUGACGCUGAGGCGCGAAAGCGUGGGGAUCAAACAGG